GCUGCCCUGUGGCUCCUGUGCCGGCUGCAGGGCACCCGGGAGCGGGUGGCGCUUGGAGCCAGAGAUGAGCUCCCACGUGCCUGCUCUGCCCUAGGCCCAAGACUGCCCCGCGCUGCUGGAGAGGCUCUUCAGCACAGCCCGGAGCUGCUGCAUGGGGAGCUGCCAGGCGUCGCAGGUGACAGCCGUCACCGUCCUGGGCAUCAUCCUGGACACAGCGCCAGCUGAGUGGCUCCAGCGAUGGGACCUGGCGUUCUUGUGGGGAGCUCAGCAGAGGCAGUGGCACGCCAAGGCCCCCCCGUGCGUGGCUGGCGGCAGCAGCGGUGCCCCGUGCCGGGGGCCCCAGUAGCCCGAGGCUGGAGGACAAUAAAGCUCCAUCCGCAUGAGGAAGGCGCCAGCUUGUUUCCAGGCUCUGUGGGGGUCUUGCGCCGGCACCGGCCCCGCCGC
rnacentral:lncRNA from 1 species